rnacentral:rRNA from 1 species
GUCUUCAGCCAUACCAACCUGAACGCGCCCGAUCUCGUCUGAUUUCGAAAGCUAAGUCAGGUCAGGCCUGACUUAGUCCUUGAUGGGA